GAUGAACGCUAGCGGCAGGCUUAAUACAUGCAAGUCGUGGGGCAGCAUGAGUAGCAAUACUUGAUGGCGACCGGCAAACGAGUGAGGAACACGUACACAACCUUCCUUCAAGCGGGGAAUAGCCCAGAGAAAUUUGGAUUAAUACCCCAUAAUAUAUUUGAUAAGGCAUCUUAUUAAUAUUAAAGCUUCGGCACUUGAUGAUGGGUGUGCGGCUGAUUAGAUAGUUGGCGGGGUAACGGCCCACCAAGUCUACGAUCAGUAGCUGAUGUGAGAGCAUGAUCAGCCACACGGGCACUGAGACACGGGCCCGACUCCUACGGGAGGCAGCAGUAAGGAAUAUUGGACAAUGGACGAAAGUCUGAUCCAGCCAUGCCGCGUGAAGGAUUAAGGUCCUCUGGAUUGUAAACUUCUUUAUAUGGGACGAAAAAGGCAUUCUGUUCACUUGACGGUACCAUAUGAAUAAGCACCGGCUAACUCCGUGCCAG
rnacentral:rRNA from 1 species